GACGAACGCUGGCGGCGUGCCUAAUACUUGCAAGUCGAACGCUUCUUUCCUCCCGAGUGCUUGCGCUCGAUUGGAAAGAGGAGUAGCGGACGGUUGAGUAACACGUGGGUAACCUACCCAUCAGAGGGGGAUGACACAUGGCGACAGGUGCUCAUACCGCCUAACAGUUUAUGCCGCAUGGCAUGAGAGUGAAAGGCGAUUUCGGGUGUCGCUGAUGGAUGGAGGCGCGGUGGAUUAGCUAGUUGGUGAGGUAACGGCUCACCAAGGCGACGAUGGAUAGCCGACGUGAGAGCGUGAAGGGCGACAGUGAGACUGAGCGGCGGCACAGACUCCUACGGGAGGCAGCAGUAGCGAAUGUUCGGCGAAGGAGGGAAGUCUGACCGAGCGGCGCCGCGUGAGUGCAGAAGGUUCUCGGAUCGUAAGACUCUGUUGUUAGAGAAGAACGAGGACGUUAGGAACGGAACGUCCCCUUACGGUAUCUAACGAGAAAGCAACGGCUAACUACGUG
rnacentral:rRNA from 1 species